GUGUCAGCAGCCGCGGUAAAACGUAGGACACGAGCGUUAUCCGGAGUUACUGGGCGUAAAGGGCGAGUAGGUGGCCUAGUAAGACUGGUGUGAAAGCCUUCGGCUUAACCGAGGGAGGACACUGGUGACUGCUAAGCUUGAGGCAGAUAGAGGGGUGUAGAAUUCCGGGUGUAGUGGUGAAAUGCGUAGAGAUCCGGAGGAAUACCAGAGGCGAAGGCGGCACCCUGGGUCUGACCUGACACUGAUCCGCGACAGCAUGGGGAGCGAACGGGAUUAGAAACCCCCGUAGUCC
rnacentral:rRNA from 1 species